UUUUCUUUUACUUGUAAUUUUGUCCUCUAUAAAGCCGCUUCCCCUCUUCUCCUUCAAUUUGUGUUAUUCUUGUGCAUCAUUCUCUCACAUGUCCACGAUGUAGAGAGAUCCUCAGUUGUCGCUGUCAGCUAUUUGUUAAUUUUUAACUGCCUCCCCCCAAAUAAUGUUAAAAGCACUAACAAUCGUAUCAACAAACAUAUCAACAAGACACUGUUAUGGAAACUCACUUUCUGCUCAUUACCUGUUUUUGUGCUCCUUCUGUCUGCAUGGGUCUAAUUGGCAUUGUAUGUUGAUCACCUCAUUUGGUCUACCCUUAGAUAUUGAUAAACUAGACUUUGAGGUUGAGCCAAAGAUGUAUUUCAGUGAGUUAAUUGCUUCUUUCUGUGCAAAUAAAAACAUUUGUAAAUGACAUUUGUUUUCUCAGGUUUUGUUUUGAGAUAUUUGUUAACACAGAAAUCCAUUAACUAGUGAUGUGUGAAGUCUCCAACAAACCCACAAAAUA